rnacentral:rRNA from 1 species
AGCGAACGCUGGCGGCAGGCCUAACACAUGCAAGUCGAACGGUGUCUUCGGACAUAGUGGCGCACGGGUGCGUAACACGUAUGCAACCUACCUUACAUUGGGGGAUAGCCUUUCGAAAGGGAGAUUAAUACCGCAUAAGACAGUAGCUGGGCAUCCAGCAGCUGUUAAAGAUUUAUCGAUGUAAGCUGGGCAUGCGUCCAAUUAGCUAGUUGGUGAGGUAACGGCUCACCAAGGCAAUGAUUGGUAGGGGAACUGAGAGGUCAAUCCCCCACACUGGCAGGGAGAUACGGGCCAGACUCCUACGGGAGGCAGCAGUAGGGAAUAUUGGGCAAUGGACGCAAGUCUGACCCAGCCAUGCCGCGUGCAGGAUGAAGGCGUUAUGCGUUGUAAACUGCUUUUAUACAGGAAGAAACGACUCUUGCGAGAGGCAUUGACGGUACUGUAUGAAUAAGCACCGGCUAACUCCGUGCCAGCAGCCGCCGUAACAC